UACGUAGGGUGCAAGCGUUGUCCGGAAUUAUUGGGCGUAAAGAGCUCGUAGGCGGUCUGUCGCGUCGGCUGUGAAAACCCGGGGCUCAACCCCGGGCCUGCAGUCGAUACGGGCAGACUAGAGUGCGGUAGGGGAGACUGGAAUUCCUGGUGUAGCGGUGAAAUGCGCAGAUAUAAGGAGGAACACCGGUGGCGAAGGCGGGUCUCUGGGCCGUAACUGACGCUGAGGAGCGAAAGCGUGGGGAGCGAACAGG
rnacentral:rRNA from 1 species